rnacentral:rRNA from 1 species
GAUGAACGCUGGCGGCGUGCCUAAUACAUGCAAGUCGAGCGAACAGACGAGGAGCUUGCUCCUCUGACGUUAGCGGCGGACGGGUGAGUAACACGUGGAUAACCUACCUAUAAGACUGGGAUAACUUCGGGAAACCGGAGCUAAUACCGGAUAAUAUAUUGAACCGCAUGGUUCAAUAGUGAAAGACGGUUUUGCUGUCACUUAUAGCUGGAUCCGCGCCGCAUUAGCUAGUUGGUAAGGUAACGGCUUACCAAGGCAACGAUGCGUAGCCGACCUGAGAGGGUGAUCGGCCACACUGGAACUGAAACACGGUCCAGACUCCUACGGGAGGCAGCAGUAGGGAAUCUUCCGCAAUGGGCGAAAGCCUGACGGAGCAACGCCGCGUGAGUGAUGAAGGUCUUCGGAUCGUAAAACUCUGUUAUUAGGGAAGAACAAAUGUGUAAGUAACUAUGCACGUCUUGACGGUACCUAAUCAGAAAGCCACGGCUAACUACGUG